rnacentral:lncRNA from 1 species
UUCACGGGGUCGACCUGUCGCUCAGACCCCCGAACCUACUUUCCCCUAGGCCGGCAGCAGGAUGGCUGAGGAGGAGGUCCAGGGCCGCCUGUGGCUGGAGAGCCCCGCUGGGGGAGCUCCUCCCAUCUUCCUGCCUUCGAACCGGCAGGCUCUGGUCCUGGGCCGGGGUCCCCUCACCCGUGUUACGGACCGGAAGUGCUCCAGAAACCAAGGUGGGGACGGGCUUGAGCGGGAAGGGGUGUGGCCUGCUCUAGAGGCGGGAAUGAGAUCCUAAAGAAUGAUGCACCGAGGGACGCUCGGCUACUAGGCACAAUUGCGUGGUGCGUCCAGCCCAGGGGUCGAUUGGUGCCUUCUGGGGAGCGCAGAAGGAGAGGUUGUACCUGACCUUGGGGAAGAGGGUGUGGUGCCAACCCCGGGAGAAUUGUCAGUGGGCACAGGAGGCUGCUCUCGGGCCAUUUGAAGGUUUAAAACUGGCCACCACCUUUGUGAAGAGAGGUGAUCCUACAGAGAAAAGUAAAAGCCGGGUGGACGUGGACGGUAACAGGGCAAGCCCAGGGCCUGCGUCAAGCCUCACUUAUUAUUAUUUAUAUGAAAGUGUCUGCCCUGUUCAUAGGCAAGGACCAUGCCACGCGCAGUCCUAGGGACUCUCGCAGUGGGAUCCAAUCCCAUUGAGAAAUAAACUGUCUCUUACUCUCUCCGGAAUGGAUGCUGUAGCUCCAUUCUGUGGCCUGAAACUGGCCACCGCUCCCCAGUAUGAGGGGGCCCUUCACACAAGGAUGUGAUCCUGACCCCACCCCCUCAUCCCCUAGUGGAGCUGGUUGCAGACCCUGAGACCCGGACAGUGGCUGUGAAACAGGUACCAGUGCUUCAGCAAGGGGCAGCAGUGUCUGGGGGUAGGGUCUGGAGGGGAAUUGCAAACUGGCAGGGGGUAGACCCAUUAGAAAACUGGCCAGAAGAAGGGGGUGUGCUGGUGAAAAAGAGUUGUCGGCUUUAUUUGGGUAUCCAUCUGUCCCCUUUCAACUGGGCAAGACUGGAAGCCUAUAAGGGUCUGAUUGGUAGGUGGACUAAAUCACCCUGUGGUAUUGGGGGGGGGGAGGUUCUCACAGUGGGUGGAGCUGGUCCCAGCCCCUCCCUCUUUCUCUGCAGCUGGGCGUUAACCCUUCAACUGCUGGAACCCAGCAGUUGAAACCAGGGUUGGAGGGCUCUCUGGGGGUGGGGGACACACUAUAUUUGGUCAAUGGCCUCCACCCACUGACCCUGCGCUGGAAAGAGACCCAUACAUCAGGAUCCCAGCCAGAUACUCCGCCUGGCACCUCUCCAGUAGCUUCAGAUGAAGAGCAGGAGAAGGAUGCUAAGCAGCAGAAAAAGCGCUUAAGGAAGUCAUCCCCUGGCUGGGAGAGCUUGGAGAAGCUGCUAGUGUUCACAGCACCUGGGGUGAAGCCUCGGGGCAAGGUGAGGCUGCUGGAGGUUCUGCCCUAGGCCGGGCAUUCAGUCUGAACUUCAAAUGUGAUCCUAGGCAAGGCUGUCAGCCUCUUAGCCUUGGGGGAAGUGUGGGUUGGUCCCUGCUGCCCCUUGGUAGACACCCAGGAAUCAGCAGGAUGACCAGGAACAGGUCAGCAGGGGCUCUUCAGACUGCACUUAGAUGUGGUCAAGGCCAUGCUGAGUCUACAUCUCACCUCUGAAAUGAUGACUUCCCAAAAAGUAUGUGGCCUUGGUCCCUGACAGGCAGUGGGCACCCCAAAAAAGCUUUGCUCUGGUUUUAUUUCCCCUGUAGUUAUUAAUCUCCAAGGUGUAAAAGCCCAGGGGAGGAGAUCGGGUAAGAAACUAAUUCUCAUUUUGAUACUAGAAAUGCAGAGGUGGGGUGGACACAGGAGUGACAGGACAGUAGGAUUUCAGGUGAUGUGUCUGUGCCUCAUCCCUGUUGGGUCAUAUCUACAGAAAACCAUCUCCCUGCAUCAAAGUGUUAUUGUGACUCAUCCUGUGAGUGAAGAGACAGGUGUCUCAAUGCUGCCCCUCCUCUGUUCUUGGUGACACCAGGUAGCUGCCUUUGAUUUGGAUGGGACCCUCAUCACCACCCGCUCUGGGAAGGUGUUUCCCACUGGCCCCAGUGACUGGAGGUGAGGAGGGGCAAGGGAAGGGAGUGAGUGGAGCUGGUUGACCCCUCCAGGCCCCAGGUCACUUGUCCACUUCCGACCCAUUCUAGGGUCUUGUACCUAGAGAUUCCACGCAAGCUGAAGGAGUUGGAAGCAGAAGGCUACAAGGUCUGUGCCUAUGUGAGCAAGCGCGACAGGGUCUCUGAUGAGGAGGCCCUGGUGACAUUGUCUGCUCCCUAGCUGGUGAUCUUCACCAACCAGAUGGGCAUUGGACGAGGGAAACUGCCAGCAGAGGAGUUCAAGGCCAAGGUGGAGGCUGUGGUAGAGAAGCUGGGGGUUCCCUUUCAGGUAUGACUAGAAUGGAGGCUAGGGCCAGGGUAGGGUAACAAAGACCCUUGGGUGGGAGACAAACCCAGAGAGAGUCCCUGGGAUGUAUGGGACAGAGGCCUCUGCUGGGGUCAAGCCAUGAGCAGUUGUCAUGAGCUGUAUAUCCCAGAGCAUGGGCAGCUCUCUGGGGCUUGGUACCCAGCUCUUUGGGGCUUGGAAGAGCUGAGGAUGGUGUGUGACCCCUGCCCCACUUCAGGUGCUGGUGGCUACACAUGCAGGCCUGUAUCGGAAGCCGGUGACUGGCAUGUGGGACCAUCUGCAGGAGCAGGUGAGCUGUACCUCCUCUUCCCCUUGCUCUAGCCCCUGUUUCUUAGGGCUUGUUCUUUCUCUCCUCCCUUAGUCCUUGUCAUGUGGUUUAGCUGUCAGGUCCUAGGUGCUGGUAUAUGAGGUCAGUACCAUUAAGCUGAAGUCAGAGGUUGCAUCAGGAGCAGAGACAGGAGGGUAAGUUUGAGUCAGCCUGGGCAACUUAGGGAGACCCUGUCUCAAACUAUAAAAUAAGCCGGGCACAGUGUCGCAUGAAUGAAAUCCCAGCGGCUCAGGAGGCUGAGGCUGAGUUCAAAGGCAGCUGAUCAAACUCACUGAUCAGGAGUUCAAAGCUGGCCUCAGCAAAGGUGAAGCACUAAGCAACUCAGUGAGACCCUGUCUCUAAAUAAAAUACAAAAUAGGGCUGGGGAUGUGGCUCAGCUGUAGAGCACCUGCCUAGCAUGUCUGAGUCACUGGGUUCCAUCCCUAGUACCACCAAAAAAAAAAAAAAAUCAGUGGUUGAGAUUGUUAAUUCAUUCAACCAAUGGUUUGUUCUGAGCUGAAAAUCCUGGUAAAUAAUAGUGGCAUGCCUGCUGUAGCAGUACUCGUAGACCGCUGAUGGCAGCCAGCUAUAAAUGCACACAUGAGUAUAAAAUAGGAAGUAGGGUGUGAUUUUCCUACGGUAGACAGGGGGACGUCUCUAAGAAGGUGACAAAUUGAGUAAAAGUCUAAGGGAGGUGAGGGAAGAAGCCACAUGGAUAUCUGCAGAAGUGGUCCUGGCCAGAGUGACAGCUGGUGUGAAGGCCCCGAGCCUUGCGUGUUCACCAGUGCGGAUGCCCACCUGGUGGACCCAGGUGAGUGAGAGGGUGGGGCCUCGCCUUGGGGCCACGGGAGCAGAGUAGGAACGCGUGUGGGGUCUAAGUGGGGAUGGGAGCCUGGAAGCCUAUCCGCUCUGGCCUGAGUCUAGGCAGUGAAGCGUGAGAAGCGCUGCAAUGGUGAGGACUUGAGAGGUUUGAGAUCUGGCCUGAUGCAGGGAACAGACCAAGAGGAGCUGCCCCAGGGAGCCCUUUACUGCAGAGGGACAGUUGUUAGGAGUAGGUUCUAUUUGUCUCUCCAGGCCAACGAGGGCGUGCCCAUCUCUAUGGGGGACAGCAUCUUCGUGGGAGGUAAGGGCUUGGGGCUGCUGCGGGUGGGCCAAGACCCUUCUCUCCAAACCUGCUGGCAGUGAAGGGUAUCCUCGUGCGUUCCAGAUGCAGCAGGCCGCCCAGCCAACUGGGCCCCUGGCCGUAAGAAGAAAGACUUUUCCUGCGCUGACCGAUUGGUGAGCAGGUGACCGAUUGGGGAUCGGUCACCAAUGGUGAGCCCCGCACCCCGCCCUCGAUCUCUGCCUCACCUCUGCCUUUGCCCCAGUUUGCGCUCAACCUUGGCCUGCCCUUCGCCACCCCGGAGGAGUUCUUCCUUAAGCAGCCCACAGCAGCCUUUGUCCUCCCAGCAUUUGACCCGGUGAGGCCCGAGGGGUGGAAGGCAGGGAACAAGCAGGGGAAUGAGGGUCUCAACUUCUUGUUCCACCCCUCCUAGAGGACUGUCUCCUGCUCAGGGCCUCUCUGCCUCCCAGAGUCCAGCUCCCUCCUGAGCUCUGACCCAGAGGUGGUUGUCGCCGUGGGAUUCCCUGGGGGUGAGAUAUCCUGAUCCCCAUCUCUGGGUGCUGUAAGUGUCCUUCUGGGUCCUGGGUAUCCACUGAUAGUGAUUUUGUGCCUCUCAGCUGGGAAGUCCACCUUCCUCAAGAAACAUCUCGUGUCAGCUGGGUACGUCCACGUGAACAGGGUAAGAGGCUGCCGCGCCCCAUCCCACUGGUUCAUUCCCUGGCUGCCCCAACCGGGCCUUCAGGGCUGCCGCCCAGCACCCCUGCCUCCCCCUGCAGUUCUGAUUUGUUGCCCUGCCCCCACCAGGACACCCCUUCAUCUUCUAUUCCCUAUUGGGCAAUUCCUGCUUGUGACCUGCUCUCCUCUGUCCCCAGGAUACAAUAGGCUCCUGGCAGCGCUGUGUGAGCACCUGUGAGGCAGCUCUGAAGCAGAGGAAACGCGUGGUGAUCGACAACACAAAUCCAGACAUCCCAACCAGGGCCAGGUACUUGGCCCCAUGGGAGGUCUCUAGUAGGGCUGGCAAGGGCCUGGUGACAGCGCUUUCCUGGCCUCAACAGGUAUGUCCAGUGUGCCAGGGAUGCAGGUGUUCCCUGCCGUUGUUUCCUCUUCACUGCCACAUUGGAGCAGGCUCGCCACAACAACCGGGUGAGCCCCUGCCCUCCCCCUCCCUCCUGCCCUGCCCUGCCCCUCCCUCCCCGAUGGCCUCACUCUGAACCAUCCCCUAACAGUUCCGGGAGAUGACUGGCUCCUCUCACACACCAGUGUCAGAUGUCGUCAUAUUCGGCUACAGGUACCUCUAGUUAGUAGGCUGUGGGCUGGUAGGGCCUGGCCUCUCCUUACCACCUUCUCUGCCACCAGGAAACAGUUCGAAGCUCCUACGGUGGCGGAAGGCUUCUCUGCAAUCCUGGAGAUCCCAUUCCAGCUGCAGCUAGAGCCGCAACUAGAGCGACUCUACCGGCAGUUCUCUGAGGGCUGAGUUGCCCAGCCCCAUGCUCCCCUCCCUGACCUGGCAAUAAAUGCUAUUUUUCUCCAAGCUUGGCCAGCAUUUUGCUGGGAGGAAGGGUGGUCGUCUUGGAGGUGCGUCACCAGGCCUAGGCCAACCCCACGCCCCCACACACACACGCGCGCGCGCGCACACUUUUCUACAUUUUCAGGUUAACAGAAAAGGAGGGACCUGGACUGGCUCAGGCUGCUCCUCUGCACAUCUCAUGUUCUACACCAAACCACUCCACCCACCUUGGGCUGUGGAAAGGUGUCACUAGGAGGUUGUCAUGAGCAGGUCAAACAAGAGACUGAGAUGAGACAUGGGAAUGUAGGACAUUGAAUGGGCCCCUAUAAGCUAGCCAGAGCUUGGCUCAAGAUGGCCCAUGAGGGCACAGUGAUUGCAAGCUUGCCUAAUCAUGUGUGAGGCCCUGCAUUCAACUCCCAGUACUGCAUGAGGACAAAAUAUCCAGGGCUCAGGUUCUAUUGCAUUGGACUUGAACGCAGGGGAUGUGGGUCUUGGACCUGCCUAUGGAUCCCCCCUCCAGCUACAGGAGGCAAAAACGCCCCUGACCUAUGCUUUCUUACAGGUAAGUCCAGGGGAAAGAAACCAUGAGCACUACCUGCAAGGUCCUGGCACCAGGUACUGGAAACAGAGAACCAACACACGGCUUCAUGCUUCUGACACAAAGGCCCCAGGAGGUGAGGCCACC